rnacentral:rRNA from 1 species
ACCUACGGGACGCAGCAGUAGGGAAUCUUCCACAAUGGGCGAAAGUCUGAUGGAGCAACGCCGCGUGGGUGAAGAAGGUCUUCGGAUCAUAAAACCCUGUUGUUAGAGAAGAAAGUGCGUGAGAGUAGCUGUUCACGUCUCGACGGUAUCUAACCAGAAAGCCACGGCUAACUACGUGCCAGCAGCCGCGGUAAUACGUAGGUGGCAAGCGUUAUCCGGAUUUAUUGGGCGUAAAGGGAACGCAGGCGGUCUUUUAAGUCUGAUGUGAAAGCCUUCGGCUUAACCGGAGUAGUGCAUUGGAAACU